rnacentral:misc_RNA from 1 species
CCUGGGCGACUGCAUCGACUGCACGAUGUGCGUACAGGUCUGCCCCACCGGCAUCGACAUCCGCGACGG